AGCCCAUGGUGAGGGCACCUUCUCAAGAGGUCCUUGUAUCUCUCCCAUGCAUCAUAGAGCAUUUCUAGAUCCAUCUGCACAAAAGAAGAGAUAUCAUUCCUUAAUUU
rfam:Gossypium hirsutum cultivar TM-1 chromosome 6, whole genome shotgun sequence